GACGAACGCUGGCGGCGUGCCUAAUACAUGCAAGUUGAGCGCUGAAGGUUGGUACUUGUACCAACUGGAUGAGCAGCGAACGGGUGAGUAACGCGUGGGGAAUCUGCCUUUGAGCGGGGGACAACAUUUGGAAACGAAUGCUAAUACCGCAUAAAAACUUUAAACACAAGUUUUAAGUUUGAAAGAUGCAAUUGCAUCACUCAAAGAUGAUCCCGCGUUGUAUUAGCUAGUUGGUGAGGUAAAGGCUCACCAAGGCGAUGAUACAUAGCCGACCUGAGAGGGUGAUCGGCCACAUUGGGACUGAGACACGGCCCAAACUCCUACGGGAGGCAGCAGUAGGGAAUCUUCGGCAAAGGACGAAAGUCUGACCGAGCAACGCCGCGUGAGUGAAGAAGGUUUUCGGAUCGUAAAACUCUGUUGGUAGAGAAGAACGUUGGUGAGAGUGGAAAGCUCAUCAAGUGACGGUAACUACCCAGAAAGGGACGGCUAACUACGUG
rnacentral:rRNA from 1 species